rnacentral:lncRNA from 1 species
GCAUUUUUGAUUAUGUAUCUACACUUAAAUGUUACACAUGAGGCCAGUGGCGGACCCAUGAUAUAUUUUUACCUAGGUCAUAACUUUUAUUUAAACCCAAACUAUAACAAAAGCACAAACAGAAGCAUGGAUUUUUUUUUAAAAAGGGGUGCAGGAAGCGGUAUUCGAACCCAGGAAAGGAGUGUCAGAGGAGGAAAUACAUAGCCAAUUGUGC